ensembl:lncRNA
GGAAGAGUAUGGUAAUGCCUGAGUUUGGACCUGCACGUCUUCCUGCACACCUACCAGUGAGGACAGCCUGAGUAAUUAAGCACUUUGGAUGUUGAAAGCAAUUUGGACAUCUCCUAAACCCAGAGCUGAAUUUUGCUGUUUUCUGCAAGGAAUAAGGGCGUCAGAAAUCCAGAGCAAGCUGAGGACAUGCAUGGUGGGUGAAGGCAGGUUUUUGAAUCUAUGCCACAAUCUGCUGGGGCUGCACCACGUGGCUGCAUUCAGGCUUCUUCUGGGAUCUUCAGCUUCUGCUUUCCUGACACGGCCUGCUGGAUUGCAGGACCUGAGACCAGUGUUCUCCAGGCUAUGGGGAAGGUGGGAUUCACAGUAGUCAGUCGAAACACCGAGUGUUUAGGAGCUUUUGUAUGAGUGCCAGGAAGGAGAAGGAUGCUCUGGAAUUUGUGCAAAAGGAGAAUACAGUGAUGCUCACUGUGGUGUUCCAGAGCUGGGUUAUAAUGAGAAUGGAGACUUUCUUCAAGGUCUCAGGCUGGGGUUCUGCCUGCUGUGAGGAGCAAGGCAUUCCCCUGCUCAAGGCCAGGUGAGAAGCAUUGAUAACUGUCUCUGUUUACUCUGGAAUGUGAUGCUGAGAGCUCAGAUCCUCACCAGGUGGGAGAUGCUCAUGGGUCCUUUUGCAAAUUAAGGGCUGAAUUCAUCCAAAGCAAACUUUGCACAUCACAAGCAAUGAUGUGAACUAUUCACAGAGCCAGUGGCUGAAGAAGUGGAUGGGAUCUGCAGCCAGAAGAAACAAAUGUGUCAUUUGAAUUAUGGCACAGUUUGCUUUGAGAUUUUCUCAGUUCAAAGUUGACAUCUCUUC